rnacentral:rRNA from 1 species
GACGAACGCUGGCGGCGUGCCUAAUACAUGCAAGUAGAACGCUGAAUGAGGAGCUUGCUUCUCUGGAUGAGUUGCGAACGGGUGAGUAACGCGUAGGUAACCUGCCUGGUAGCGGGGGAUAACUAUUGGAAACGAUAGCUAAUACCGCAUAAUAUUGACUAUUGCAUGAUAGUCAGUUGAAAGGUGCAACUGCACCACUACCAGAUGGACCUGCGUUGUAUUAGCUAGUUGGUGGGGUAACGGCUCACCAAGGCGACGAUACAUAGCCGACCUGAGAGGGUGAUCGGCCACACUGGGACUGAGACACGGCCCAGACUCCUACGGGAGGCAGCAGUAGGGAAUCUUCGGCAAUGGACGGAAGUCUGACCGAGCAACGCCGCGUGAGUGAAGAAGGUUUUCGGAUCGUAAAGCUCUGUUGUAAGAGAAGAACGAGUGUGAGAGUGGAAAGCUCACACUGUGACGGUAUCUUACCAGAAAGGGACGGCUAACUACGUG